rnacentral:rRNA from 1 species
GAUGAACGCUCGCUACAGGCUUAACACAUGCAAGUCGAGGGGAAACGACAUCGAAAGCUUGCUUUUGAUGGGCGUCGACCGGCGCACGGGUGAGUAACGCGUAUCCAACCUGCCCAUCACUUGGGAAUAACCUUGCGAAAGUAAGACUAAUACCCAAUGAUAUCCCACGAAGGCAUCGGAAUGGGAUUAAAGAUUUAUCGGUGAUGGAUGGGGAUGCGUCUGAUUAGCUUGUUGGCGGGGUAACGGCCCACCAAGGCAACGAUCAGUAGGGGUUCUGAGAGGAAGGUCCCCCACAUUGGAGCUGAGACACGGUCCAAACUCCUACGGGAGGCAGCAGUGAGGAAUAUUGGUCAAUGGGCGAGAGCCUGAACCAGCCAAGUAGCGUGCAGGAAGACGGCCCUAUGGGUGGUAAACUGCUUUUAGAAGGGAAUAAAGUGGGUCACGUGUGACUUUUUGCAUGUACCUUAUGAAUAAGGACCGGCUAAUUCCGUG